rnacentral:misc_RNA from 1 species
UUGUGAACGCAUGCACCACUAGAGAGUAAGUAUUUGUCGUAGUCGGGACGUCACGUGAGUGACAACCUGCUUCAUACUUUCUGCAUGCCGUGGCUCUUCUGCAAUUUGACAAUUUGGCAGAGUGCCAUCCGGCAAGGUCGACAGUUGUAGUUGUUUGCAGGCAGAUUCUCGCGCUUCUGGCACAAGAGGCAUCAAGACAGGUGGCAAGAAGCAACAAUGUGGUAAGGGCUUAUAGAACACAAUUAAUUUAGCACCACAUGACAGACGAUCUUUACUGAGAUAAUCAAAGGAGCUUGAUACUUCUCCCAACAUUCCAACCAUCCAGUUAGUUCAGUUUCGUGUUGUCCUGCUCGACGACCGGUCACAACGAUGAUUGUAAGGUCAGACGGUUUCAGUGAUGAAACAACUGUGGUAACAGCUGGUAGAAUUGUCGAGGCAGUGGUCAUCUUACUUAUAUGUGUGUUGGUGAUUGGGACCAACGUACUGGCUCUGGCCACCAUAUUGACCUCAUCUGUGCAGAAGGAAGCUAUGGACUACUAUAUUCUGUCCCUGGUCACUGCUGACCUUCUCUGCGGAGUGCUAAUCCUUCCCUUGUCUGUAUACCCGGCUAUCACGAGAGAGUGGAUAUACGGAGAUCUUUUGUGCAGGAUAACUGGCUUCGUAGAAUUGACAUUAUGGAGUGUUACCAUGUACACUUUCAUGUGGAUUGCUGUGGAUCGGUACCUGGCUAUUCGCAAACCACUUCGCUACGACACCAUUCAGACAAGGACACGAUGCCAAUGUUGGAUGGUGUUUACUUGGCUAACAUCCAUCUUUCUGUGCUGUCCACCGCUUCUGGGAUUUUCCAAAGGCCUCUUCUAUCGUGAUGGAUUUGUGUGUCUUCUUGGGCUCGGUAACAUGCUGCCAUACAGCACCACUCUAGGAGUUUUGGUGUUGGUGCCCAGUAUCGCAACCGUUGUUUACUCUUACUUCUAUAUCUUUUCUACCAUGCACAAACUACGACAGAGCAUGACUGAAGAGGAGAAAGAGUACGCCACCGCCAUGAGCGAGAACCUUUCAAACCCAGACCACAUGAUGGCCUUCGUGCUGAUUUUGGUUUUUGCAGUUUCUUGGAUUCCUUGGUUUUUACUCCGAAUUUAUGAACAAGUGGCAGAAGAGCCCGUGACUUCCCACUAUUUACACUUUUGUCUUUUGUGGCUAGGCGUCUUGAACAGCAUCUGGAAGCCUAUCAUCUACGCCUUGAUGAGCCCUAAGUUUAGGUACAGCCUGAAGUUACUGUGUGCCUCUCUCUGCUGCCGCUGGAAAGCUCGACCACAGCUCAUAAUCUAGUCGAAGAGAGCACAAAUCUCCUGAAACUACAGUACAGGGUGAAAUAAAACCCAAGAAAUUUCGCAAGAUCUUGAGAAUUUCUGGUAGGAAAGAUUAGAAACAUUCCAUUGACUUCGUAAGCCAAGUCAGAGGUGACUCAGACGGAAAACAAUUCUUAAACUGCCGCAGGUUUUCACUCGGCAAACACGAGGAACUUAGCAUUAGGAGAUUCCGGUGGAUACUGAAGCAUGAGAAUUAAAGAAAGGAGAAUGCCGUUGUCAACAAAAUGUAGAAUUUUCGCGCAAGCCUACACAGAGGGUUACUUGAGUAUAGCCGUCCCUGAUUUUUGAACUGGUAGACUAAAG